rnacentral:rRNA from 1 species
AGUGAACGCUGGCGGUAGGCCUAACACACGCAAGUCGAACGGCAGCACAGGAGAGCUUGCUCUCUGGGUGGCGAGUGGCGGACGGGUGAGGAAUACAUCGGAAUCUACUCUGUCGUGGGGGAUAACGUAGGGAAACUUACGCUAAUACCGCAUACGACCUACGGGUGAAAGCAGGGGACCUUCGGGCCUUGCGCGAUUGAAUGAGCCGAUGUCGGAUUAGCUAGUUGGCGGGGUAAAGGCCCACCAAGGCGACGAUCCGUAGCUGGUCUGGAAGGAUGAUCAGCCACACUGGAACUGAGACACGGUCCAGACUCCUACGGGAGGCAGCAGUGGGGAAUAUUGGACAAUGGGCGCAAGCCUGAUCCAGCCAUACCGCGUGGGUGAAGAAGGCCUUCGGGUUGUAAAGCCCUUUUGUUGGGAAAGAAAUCCAGCUGGCUAAUACCCGGUUGGGAUGACGGUACCCAAAGAAUAAGCACCGGCUAACUUCGUGCCAGCCGCCGCAGUAA